UUCGCAAUGCCCGAAAGGGUCUGACCUAUCCCUGGAGGAAGCACGGGCUAAGUUCGUGCCAGCAGCCGCGGUAAGACGAACCGUGCGAACGUUGUUCGGAAUCACUGGGCUUAAAGGGCGCGUAGGCGGGCCGCAAAGUCAGGGGUGAAAUCCUCCAGCUCAACUGGAGAACUGCCUUUGAUACUGGCGGCCUGGAGUAAGGUAGGGGCAUGCGGAACUGAUGGUGGAGCGGUGAAAUGUGUUGAUAUCAUCAGGAACUCCGGUGGCGAAAGCGGCGUGCUGGACCUUUACUGACGCUGAGGCGCGAAAGCCAGGGGAGCAAACGGGAUUAGAUACCCCGGUAGUCCUGGCCCUAAACGUUGGGCACUAAGUAGAGGGGUUUUAAUC
rnacentral:rRNA from 1 species